AUUAAUUGUCAUUUCUCUCCGGUAUCCCGCGGCAUAUAUAUUUCACCCUCCGUUUCAUCCCUAUUUUUUCCUUUUGUCAAUCUUCCUCUUUUUUUGUAUCGCCUUAAAAUUUCAUAAGUUCCCCUAACAAAGUCAUGCACAGAGCCUUCCAUCUUGUAUGUGACAGUUUCAGUAGACAGUUGUCACGUUAUUAUUUUGAUAAGCUACUAAUGAAUAACAAAGGCCAGCCAAAAUCACUCGAAGCACGAUGAUUAUGAGAAGAGGGUUGAUUAAUUAAGACAGUGUAAUCCAGGAGUAGGUACGUGGGAUGUGUCUAAGACACAUCAUUUUAUUAAUCAGACAAAUAUCAAGACUCAAUGCUUUUCAAACGACAACAUUGCGCAACUAUUCCCAGGUUCGAUAAAACCGUUACAAACGUAGUUAUCUUCGUUAGUCCAGCCUAUAAUGAAAUAGGGAAUGAACGGAUUGACGUAGAGCGCCACUUGAUAGUGCAUAAAACCAGAUAAAUACAUCCAGUUAGUGAGGUUACGUAGAAAAUCACAUGAAACUGGUAAAGCACGGCAUUUUGGAUGCCUGGUAUAUCCGUGGUUUGUGGCUGCUAGCCUCUACAAACGCGGCGUAUGGCUAGAGGGUUUGUCACUGAGUCAGCGAAUAAAGAACACACAUUGACGAGCCUAUAACAUUUAUGGACAUUGUAUAGAUGUAUUGUGAAUAUCGGGAGAUAAAUUGAGAGUAGCUGAUGGCUGGUGGGAUAGCUGGCUUGAAAUUCUAUAAUAACCGGAGGGCAGGGUACACUCAGUGUACAAACGUAUUUACGUGCGUGUAGUGAGCAAUUACGCUGUGGCAAGAAGGCAAGCUGCUAUGAAAAACUUGGAGUUACGUGUCAGGAUCGUGCGCGAGACACGCAUCAACUAGUUUCCAAUAAACGAUGGCGAUAUAAAUAUUUCCUGGUGCGACUACAUACACUGACACACACUCAUCGACCAUACGGGAGUUUCUCUCGGGUCGUAUGACAGUGAACUACGUGUUUAGCUGCCUGGGUGUUGACAUGCAUUAAAUAUCUCAGUCACUUUGGAGUCUGAACGACAAUAGUCAAGAUUAUAACGAGAUGCAGGCUUGACCUCGUUUUUCCUUCAUGGUUCAUAUACAUAAUCGCCAUAUGUCCUAUAAAUAUUUUAUAUUUUCACUGAGAUCUUGGUGCCAUUCGCGCACGGUCGUACACUCUAUGUACGAAAUGCGUUACCUUUUACAACGAAGUCUCGUUAAAGUCGUACGACUUUCGGCGCCGACCGCCUGCAGAUGUUAUCAUUCUUGUCUCGAAUGUCCGUAUCGAACGUUUAUAUUUUACACGAGAAGCACGUAGUCACGCAAUUACGUAGUAUAAACCAUAAGGAUGUUGGCUGAUAUUUUUAUCAUAGGUAUUUUUGCAUGGUCUCAUCUAGGACUCAAAAUCCUAUGGGUACAACAAUAGCCGAAAAGCUCUCCGAAGUAUUGUCGAAAAUUUUUCUUGGAUUUCAAAUACCCUACUAUCAGCCGUCCACAGUGAAUCCACUUGUACAACAGGACUAUUGUCACGGAGGAAAAGAAACCGCAUGUCUGCUGAGAAAAAACAGGACCUACCUCUUACCUCAUAUCUUUCACUCUUACGUGCUAAAAAUUUUUGCUUUUGGAUAAAGGAAAUUCCUGUAACUCUGUAAGGGAAGCACUAUUUUUUUUGUAUGAUUAAUGUGCUUCUUUCUUCUAUUCCUUAUAUCAGAUUCGUCAACGCUCCACUGAACUGAAAAUGAUAUGCUUUACCAGUUUCCUAGGACUUUGGAUGCAUGACUGGGAAUUGAUUAAAACAUUUUGCCAAACUUUUCCGCUUGGAAGCCAGCAUUGAUAUUAUCCGAGGAUACAAUCUGGCUUAAAACUAAUUAAUUUAGAGAAUACAGUUGUUGCUCUGUUAUGCUCAGCAGCAGUACUUCCGUACAGUUUUAUCUCAUUAAUACCAGCCAAGAUUCCAUGGACUAACAAUAUGUUGAUAUCUCACUCAAAAUAAUCCUGCAGGAAUUAAAGGGAGUAUAGUUUGGCGUUUGAAGGCGGUAGCGAGGUUUAGAAGUGAAAUCAAAGGGAAUCAAUUGGAGUCAAAGGCAAGCUAAAUCAAAGUCAGAGGGAGACAAAUAAAAACAUUCUGGAUAUGCUCCACUUCACGGCCACGUAACGUGAUUUUGCGAAGUAACGAGUUGUGCUGCAAUAAUUGCAAUUGAACGAUAAUCUUCUGGAGUAUCAUGAGCUGCCAGGUCAUAGGUCACGUUACGAGUUCGUAUUCUCUGAUAAGUGUCUACGUAAUAUUUUUCAAUCCCCAUUUGUGCCAUUAGCGUCACAGAAUUUCAUUGAUAGGGAAAGACACGAUAUCUGAAUAUGAAUUUCUGCUUUUUACGUCACCGAACACAAGUGUAUUUUCCUUUGAGGCGAACGAGGAGUAAACUACGAAAAAUAGUGAAACCCCAUGUCAAAACUGGAUACUGGAUCCAUCCAUGAACCGACGUGGUUGGUCAAGCGCAAUGAAGUUCGCUGGCGUAUAAAAAUUUCGCAACGACUUUGCGGCAGGGAAUCAGCUACAGGAUACGUUAUAAACGUUGGUUAAUCGGCUGAAAAAGAAAUCACAAGAUCCUGGAUAUUUUCAUCUACGCAUCACCGGCUGCCAUUUGUUACAUCGAGAAGAAGAACGAUAGAAAAAACGGAUUGCAUACCAAGCGUGAAAUCCGAAAUCGUAAAGCCAGAUGUACGCUCGUAAAGUGCACUUUAUACCCAAGCAUCGAGUCACGCUCAUUGCAGGAAAUUAUCACGAACGAGAAAGGAUGAAUGUAAUUUCACUUCAAUUCGUUUCGCUGCUUGGAAUCCAAAUCGUCUAGCCAUCUUAGCCAAUCUUCUCUACUCGUGUACUACUUCAGUCUCGUGGUAAAUUUCUAUUUUAUAUACACUGAAGUUGGCUUACUAGAAAGAUCCAAACUACUGGAACGUCUUGCAUUCGCCGUUGCUGCUUUAAGUUUGACCUAGCCAGGAAUUAAUACCGGAAGCAGCUUCCAUGGAAGUCGCUAGAAACUUCAAUGAAUGUUGCGAUUUUAUGCCACCUGCCAUGCAGAAUAGUCCAGUUUGCUUCAUCUCCCUUAUGAAUUUUCAACGGACGAAUUUAUCCAUUUUUAUUUCCAUGAUGUCGCACGAGGAAAGAGAAGCAGUGAAAGUGAAUCCAAUGACGCGGCAGAUAUUCCAAGAGACAUUUUCAAGAAAAAUCUUCUCUGUAUCCUGAUGCUGCGAGACGGCCCACUGACUUCCAUUUUGAUGUGUUUAUCCGUAACGCAGCUGAUGUCGCACAGUCAAGAUUCUCCGCCAUAUAUACUUCCUGGAUAUUUGAAUCCUAUCGAUAGAAUUUGAUGAAAGGAUGCUGAUGAUCGAGAGAAAAUGUUCAGCCUGACAGGCGCCAGUUCGGAAUUAUAGACGGGCGUGGUUCCUCUGGCAUGCUCUAUAUUAGUUUCAUCUGUGAGAGUAGCGUAUCAACUGGAAUACAUAGGCGCGUGCAUGCUGCUCGUAGAGUGAUAGAGAGUGUAGAAGGGGGUGGGGUGGGGUGGGGUGGGGUUAGCACACAACGUGACAUGAUGGAAUAGGACAAGAGGAAACAGCUAAAGUUAAUAUCCGUUAGCCUAGGGUCUCUUAGUUCGACACGUCUAUGGGGAUUAAAUAAGAGAAACCCUUUUCUCACGCGUUAGCCUUGCUUUCUCUUCCAACCCCCCAUCGUAUUCCGUAUCUAUACUUUUACUCUGCUAACGACACUAGUUCGAUAGAGAUAAAAGUAAGUGAUCUCGUGUAACCAACCCGUAGAUUUACGAGAGACACGAAAUAAUGCAAUCAUUGGGGAAGUCAUGAAACUUCCAGAAACUUCUCGAAGCGUGUUUCCUUCGGGGCCCCAGAUGAGGGGUUGGAAAUGGCAAGCUUCCUGAAACACGAGGAUGUAAGGAGAAGAAAGAAAGGAGGAAAGCCUCCUGCUUUACUACUCUUUCUUACUCUAAGUGUCUCUCUCUACUCACCCUCAUCUCAUCUGUAAGGGAAAGCCACCCCCCUCUAACGUACGUAAAUAUUGCUAAAAAAAAAAGAAAAUGGCGAAAUAAACUCUGCAAAAAGCAGUUGCAAAAAAGGUCCAUGUAUUAGUUUGUCUGACGUUUAACGAAAUUAUUGUUAAAAAGUCCUCACGUCAUGUUCUUUUGGCUUUUUUUUGCAAUGUAGUCCAAUCAAAAUUUUCAAACGAUUUCGAUCAACUCUGCGACUGACAGCUCUUUAGCCAGGAAACAAAAUUGUAUCAAAACACGAGCAGUCACUGUGACCAACAGUAUUGUUUGGAAUUACGUGGGUUUGCGAACCUGUCUUUGUCAUUUUAAAAAACAAUAAUUGAAACCACAUCACUAAGGGUACUCUAGCUAGAGCACAAGGGUUGCAAGCUUUAGAGGUAGAUUUAUUUACAUGCGUGUAGUGAAGCCACAAAGAAAGUUCAUUAAUUCCUAUGUGAUGUGAGUGCUGUACAAGGUUGUACUAUGAGGUUGUAGGAUCCUGAUUUUUUGAACCUUAUAAAUUCUAAUGGUCCAGAUACAGGAGAUCGUUUAGUGCUGAAAAAUGAAUGGUCACUUUCUUGCUCCGUUUAUUUUAUAUUUUUCAUUCUGCAAUCGAAAGUUGGAUUUUUGUCAGGGAUUUUUAUAAACUAAGAUAACCAGUAGUGAGAAAGUCUUAGAGUCCUCAAAACUAUCUAAGCAAUGCUGUGGUUUCUUCCUGAAGAACCUUUCCCCUAUAAAUUAUACUUUUAUAAUGAAACUCUUUAUUAUACUUUACAUUCUAGUAGAAAUGUUUACGAAUGGCAAAGCGGCAUGAAAUGGUAACGCGAUGUGAAAUGGUCUCGCAUGCAAUUAUUUAUGUCACCAGAGAACCCCGAGAAAUUGUUGAAAAUAACAAAAAUGUAUGAGAGAAAGAAAAAAAGGCAAAUGCACUCGUGUGAGACGGAACGUACGAAUUCACCUAGAAGCCAUCUAGUGUUUUUCCAUAAAAGUUUAGUUCUCGUGGGAAAAGUACGAAUUGUUGGAAAUACACGAGUAACAAAUGAUUUUUUGCUACGUUUAACAAUGCAAGCUUAAUGGGGCACAGAGAUCUACUGAGGAUCAAUAAAUUCUUAAAGAAUCCUUUAUUUUUAGUAAAAAAAAAUAUCUUAAAAAUGACAGACCUUCGGUUAUGAUGAUAUAAACCCAGGAAACUCAUGGUAUUCAUAAAAUCAUAGACAAUUAAAUGAAAGUAGAAGUACCUGAACUCCCUGUAAUGUCACUUGACAUUCAAGCAUGGAGGUACUACCCUUGGUAAUUUUCCACAAUGGGAACCGUAACACAAUUCAAAAGGUGUUUUGCUCAGCUCCAUUCCCCACAUACAUAUAAUGUAGAGGAAAUCUCGGAGGAUAAAUAUAUGUAUAGGGUGAAGCAGCGAGGGAGCGUAAGCGCGAUAGAAAUAGACAUAAAGAAAGAGAGAGAUAGGAAGAAGACUAGAAGAGAUUGAGAGAGAGAGAGAGAGAGAGAAAGAGAAUAGAAUUGAGAGAGCAUCGUAGGUUAUAUCCUUGACAGCCAGCGGUCCAGCUAAUGGGCCGAACCACUUGUUGAAAGCGGAUCCCACCGAAGUUCAUACAACCCCUAGAUCCUGCAGGGAGAGUCCUACCCCCCAACUAAAGGCCCCUUCUCUCGACCUUCAUUCUGGCUCUCCCGUCUCCUAUUCUAUAACCCAGCGGACACAGAGCCCUGAAACUCUCGGCAACCGAUUUUUAACCGGCUAUCGAUCUCCUUCUUUGCAGCAUCCGGUGACAUCUCAACGCUCACUCACCCGAGUCCUCACUGCCAUCUCAGCACCAUCGUCAAUUGUAGCCGGCGGAUGAGCUCAGGAUAUUGUUCUCCUCUACCAUUCUACAACCCCAUCAAAGAGAUCACCACCCCAUCCGAUGCUUCGCCACCCAGGAGGAUUGUUAAAUAGCGAGAGCUCUGAGGUUGCAGCUACGGCAGGGUUCUGUUUCUCGGAUCCUCGAAGACUGCCCGGGCAUUAUCGAAGAUUCAAUUGAGAGCUCUGUAAGGUUUAUCAGAGAGGGUCGAGGCCGUAAUUAAGAUCGUUCGGCGUUCGGACGUAGUGGCAGAAUGAAUCAAGGGAUGGAAGCGCGGAGCGGUGGAAAAUUGAAGAAAUUAAUUUCGACGUUUAACGUUCAACGUGGGCUGGCUGCUUGUUAUUUAGUAAAAGCGUUGCACCCGUUGUAGACGUCACGCCGAUGAACCAUUAGCGAGCCAACUACCCUGACUAUUCUGCUGAUUGAUUACCUGGCGGCACUGCCCUUAUUCUCGCCGAUGGAUGUACUCGCCUCUGGUCCAGAAAGGGAAGCUUUAUAUCCAAGACGAAAGCUGAAGACUUACGAGCUUUUAAUUGAGAAUGCUAAAGCUACCCCCCAGGAGGCUGCUUUUCUCAUGAA